ACUGAGCCAAAAAUCAGAAGGUGAAUGGAGAGCAGGAGGAGGCAGACAAGGCAAGAAGUUCUUCUCGGAAGGUUCUGCAUUGCUCUCUCCUGGAAGUGUUUUGGCUCUGAAGGUGUUUCGUGUGAACGUUGUGAAGGAAUUGUGCUUUCUGCAGCUGCAUAACAAGAGGACUGUAGAAGUUGAAGGAGAAAUUAAAGAAGAUGUGAAACCAACAAAACAAGGAAAGAGGAAGGAUAAAGUGAUAGAGAAGCAGUGAAUAGCAAGGAAGAGAAUCGAGCCGAAGAACUAGAAAGAUUAUUUCAAAUGGUUGAAGAGAGGCAUGAGAAGGAAGUGGGAAGUUCAAAACAAACAAGAUACAGAAUGUGGGGGUGAGCACUGAAACUCCUGCCGUAGGAUGCUGAGCUUUCGUGCUACAGGGUCCCAUUCUCCCAGCUGGCAUCUGAGCAAGGGCAAAGUGCUUGCCUCUGAUCCACAUCGUGCGUUGCUUCAUGGCUCUGUGCCGCGCAUUCAGGUGGAGCUGCUGUCAUUGAUGUCCAUGCAAGGAGUAAGGGUAGACUACGCAACAGGGAGACUCUUUGCCCUACAACUGAAGUCCCCUUCAAGAAGUGCCUUCUGGUACCAUCCGACACUCACUCUGUGACUACCCAGCGAAUAGCCCGGAGCCAGAGAGGUGAUCUAGCUGGUGGCUGUGGACUUGAUGAUGGCUCAACAUUUCACUAAAAACCUCUAAGCACAGUGAAUCAGGAGAGGUUUGGGCUGGAUUCAGCACAGUUGAUUUAAGAUAUCAUUUAUGUCCUUGUCAGCUCUUGUCUCAGUAUGUCCUGGAGGAUGACAAGGGUCUUCUGCUGACAAGUCCCUUCUGAGUGUUGUCUGAUAUUAUGGCAGAAGGAGAGAUAAUCUGUUACACAGUGGUUAGAAAGCAGAGAGAAGCAGGAUGCUGUGUUCAAGCAUCUGGUUUGAAGCAAUCAGAUGUUUACCACCUACCAGCUGCUGUAGGAGAGGGAAACUCCUACUGCUUUGCUGCCCACCAAAGUUGGACCUCUGAAACACCAAAGCCUCCUUAUUCUGCUUUCUGCCAGCUUUCUGUACUACAUUAAUUUGAUCCUCAUUUUUGUUCUUUUUAAUCAUCUCACAAAGAAGAAAAAUUGAAGAGAUUUUGUGAUGGCUACACUCCAUCUCCAGACACUAAGAAGAUUACUCCUCUGGCUUUUAAAUCUCUUUAUUUCAAAAGCUCGUCUGUUAACUACCUAUAUCUCAAUAAUCUUAUCAAAAGGCAAUUGUUCAGGAAUGCUUUAGAAGGCAUUAAUUCAGAAUUAGGUAACUAUAGAGAACAUUUCAAACUCACAAGUAUAUAAUGACUUUAAUUUUUUU
rnacentral:lncRNA from 7 species